GGAUGAACCUCCUUCGGGAGGGGAUUAGUGGCGAACGGGUGAGUAACACGUGGGCAAUCUGCCCUGCACUCUGGGACAAGCCCUGGAAACGGGGUCUAAUACCGGAUACUGAUCAUCUUGGGCAUCCUUGGUGAUCGAAAGCUCCGGCGGUGCAGGAUGAGCCCGCGGCCUAUCAGCUUGUUGGUGAGGUAACGGCUCACCAAGGCGACGACGGGUAGCCGGCCUGAGAGGGCGACCGGCCACACUGGGACUGAGACACGGCCCAGACUCCUACGGGAGGCAGCAGUGGGGAAUAUUGCACAAUGGGCGCAAGCCUGAUGCAGCGACGCCGCGUGAGGGAUGACGGCCUUCGGGUUGUAAACCUCUUUCAGCAGGGAAGAAGCGCAAGUGACGGUACCUGCAGAAGAAGCGCCGGCUAACUACGUGCCAGCAGCCGCGGUAAUACGUAGGGCGCGAGCGUUGUCCGGAAUUAUUGGGCGUAAAGAGCUCGUAGGCGGCUUGUCGCGUCGGUUGUGAAAGCCCGGGGCUUAACCCCGGGUCUGCAGUCGAUACGGGCAGGCUAGAGUUCGGUAGGGGAGAUCGGAAUUCCUGGUGUAGCGGUGAAAUGCGCAGAUAUCAGGAGGAACACCGGUGGCGAAGGCGGAUCUCUGGGCCGAUACUGACGCUGAGGAGCGAAAGCGUGGGGAGCGAACAGGAUUAGAUACCCUGGUAGUCCACGCCGUAAACGGUGGGCACUAGGUGUGGGCGACAUUCCACGUCGUCCGUGCCGCAGCUAACGCAUUAAGUG
rnacentral:rRNA from 1 species